CCGUCGACUGAAAGACAUAAAGGCGUUUGCGAUAUAAAGCGCUCGCCCGUGGACCGCCAUAAAUUCGGUUGCAGCCCUGGUUUUGAUAUUCUGCUUUGCACAAAAUGACUCUAAAUAAUUUCGAGAGAUCUUGGAUGAAGCAUUUUUUACAAAUCUGUUUAACUGGUUCUCUACUAGUGGGGGGAAAGCUUUGGGGAAAUUUCGGACGGGAAAGAUUUACGGGAAAGAGAAGCGAGGCUUCGACAACGGCCGACAGAAAAGAAUUAUUUCUAUUCACGCGACGUACCUACCGAUCUUAUGGUUCUUCGAAUUCCCGUCAUGCUUUCUAACAAAGAGAAUUACUGCGUCAUCGGGGCUCGCCCAGACAUGUGCGAAUUGUUUAAUUCAGAUACAAGAUGGACUGAAAAUCGCGAUGU
rnacentral:misc_RNA from 1 species